UACGGGGGGGGCAAGCGUUGUUCGGAAUUACUGGGCGUAAAGGGCUCGUAGGCGGCCAACUAAGUCAUACGUGAAAUCCCUCGGCUUAACCGGGGAACUGCGUCUGAUACUGGAUGGCUUGAGUUCGGGAGAGGGAUGCGGAAUUCCAGGUGUAGCGGUGAAAUGCGUAGAUAUCUGGAGGAACACCGGUGGCGAAGGCGGCAUCCUGGACCGAUACUGACACUGAUGCGCGACAGCGUGGGGAGCAAACAGG
rnacentral:rRNA from 1 species